rnacentral:rRNA from 1 species
ACCGACGCAUUUCUUCCCGCUCGAGGACGCCGCAGCCGGUUGGGGAAAUCGCGAGUUUGCCGCUCGGUAGCUCGCCCCGCCGCCGAUGGUCGCUCCCGCGGUAGCUUACGGCUAGCGGCGAGUAGGUCGGUCACCCACCUGACCCGUCUUGAAACACGGACCAAGGAGUGUAACUCGUGCGCGAGUCAAGGGGACUUGAACAGGCCCAAAGGCGCAGCGAAAGUGAAGCCGCGAUCCCUGGGGCGCAGCGGCGACCGGGCCGACGUUCGAGCGUGCGAGUUGCGACCCGAAAGAUGGUGAACUAUGCCCGGCCAGGGCGAAGUCAGAGGAAACUCUGAUGGAGGCUCGUAGCGCUUCUGACGUGCAAAUCGAUUGCGAGAGCCGGGUAUAGGGGCGAAAGACUAAUCGAACCAUCUAGUAGCUGGUUCCCUCCGAAGUUUCCCUCAGGAUAGCUGGCGCUCGGAUAGUCUCGUGUGAUAAAGCGAA